rnacentral:rRNA from 1 species
GAUGAACGCUGGCGGCGUGCCUAAUACAUGCAAGUAGAACGCUGAAGGAAGGAGCUUGCUCUUUCCGGAUGAGUUGCGAACGGGUGAGUAACGCGUAGGUAACCUGCCUGGUAGCGGGGGAUAACUAUUGGAAACGAUAGCUAAUACCGCAUAACAGUAGAUGUUGCAUGAUAUCUACUUAAAAGGUGCAAUUGCACCACUACCAGAUGGACCUGCGUUGUAUUAGCUAGUUGGUGAGGUAACGGCUCACCAAGGCGACGAUACAUAGCCGACCUGAGAGGGUGAUCGGCCACACUGGGACUGAGACACGGCCCAGACUCCUACGGGAGGCAGCAGUAGGGAAUCUUCGGCAAUAGACGGAAGUCUGACCGAGCAACGCCGCGUGAGUGAAGAAGGUUUUCGGAUCGUAAAGCUCUGUUGUAAGAGAAGAACGAGUGUGAGAGUGGGAAGUUCACACUGUGACGGUAUCUUACCAGAAAGGGACGGCUAACUACGUG